rnacentral:misc_RNA from 1 species
GUGAAUCAUCGAAUUUUUGAACGCAAAUUACACUCUCCUCGGAGAGUAUGACUGUUUGAGGGUCAGCCUAUAAAAAAUCGACAUCGUUGCUGUUUCGCGGUGGCGUUCGUCGGAAAUUGGGUCAUCUUAAAUCUUUUUGAUUUAAACGACUUAAAAUUUUCUUUUGGUUCCAUUAACGUUCCUAAGAUUGAUUUCUUCACACGUUUAAUAUAUCGAUUUUUAUUGGACGUUAC